AGAGUUUGAUCCUGGCUCAGGAUAAACGCUGGCGGCGUGCCUAACACAUGCAAGUCGAACGCCCUUAGCAAUAAGGGAGUGGCGGACGGGUGAGGAACACGUGGGUAUCUGCCAUCAGGUGAGGAAUACCGGCGAGAAAUCGCCGACAAUACCGCAUAGGCUCCUUCGGGAGCAAAGCUCGCAAGGGCGCCUGAUGAUGA
rnacentral:rRNA from 1 species